rnacentral:rRNA from 1 species
GACAGAGGUGCCGAGCGUUAGGCGGAAUCACUGGGCUUAAAGCGUGUGUAGGCGGACCGUUAAGUGUCUUGUGAAAUCCCCCGGCUCAACCGGGGAAUUGCUGGGCAUACUGGCGGUCUUGAGCAGUCUAGGGGCAGAUGGAACAAGUGGUGGAGCGGCGAAAUGCGUAGAUAUCACUUGGAACGCCAAAGGUGAAGACAGUCUGCUGGGGACUUGCUGACGCUGAGACACGAAAGCCAGGGGAGCGAACGGG